CGGGGCGUGGCUCAGUUUGGCUAGAGCGCUUGCUUUGGGAGCAAGAUGUCGACAGUUCGAGUCUGUCCGCCCCGA
rnacentral:tRNA from 1 species